UGAUGGUGCAGAUGCGGCUGGU
rnacentral:misc_RNA from 1 species